rnacentral:rRNA from 1 species
UACAGAGGGGGCAAGCGUUGUUCGGAAUUACUGGGCGUAAAGGGCGCGUAGGCGGCCAUCUAAGUCGAACGUGAAAUCCCCGGGCUCAACCCGGGAACUGCGUCCGAUACUGGCAGGCUUGAAUCCGGGAGAGGGAUGUGGAAUUCCAGGUGUAGCGGUGAAAUGCGUAGAUAUCUGGAGGAACACCGGUGGCGAAGGCGGCAUCCUGGACCGGCAUUGACGCUGAGGCGCGAAAGCCAGGGGAGCAAACGGG